CUCCACAGCCGUGUCUAGAAGGGUACCUU
rnacentral:piRNA from 1 species